AGGCAGUAAGAGAAAGAGGCAAAUUGGUUUGAAUUCUGUAUUCCCCAAGCACUAAUAAAUAUGCUGUUAAAUAUGCAGUUACUGGGAAUGAGUAGCUAGUUUAAUACUGGUAGAAGUGGCAUUGUUUACUGCUUUGUGACCAUUCUGCAAGCUCCACUGAAGGCUUGCAGAUGGUAUUUGGCUUUCUCUGAAAGAAUAUGGACUUGCUAAGCACCUGUUUCCAUAUUUCACAUUCUACCUUACUUUGAAAGGAAAGAAGUUUGCAUUCAUUAGUAAGUGUUCCUGUUUCUAUAAGACUGCAGUAAGAGCAACAAAAUUUCUUACCAUUGAUCUUUUUCCACCACUAGCAGGACAGUCAUUUCUUGGAGAUUUCUCUUACUGGGUAAUGAAGCAAAUGGUGCCUGUCCCUGAAUUGGGAAGUAAACAUGCAUGAUACAGAGAGUGGACACACAGAAGGAUAUCCAAAGUGACAUCUUCCUUGGCUGCAAGUCAGGCAUCCUAUCUGAAAAGUGCUUGGCCAGGCAAGAACAUUUUUUUCUGAGGCAACCCUUGCAGAAACUAACAGGAGUCUGCUCUGCUAUGAAUUAUGGAGAAGGGAAGUCACUCUUUAUUCCUAUUUGGAAAGCUGUUCUUUGAAAAUGGGAAGCCUACUGAUUUUAAUUUCAAACAUAUUCUUCUACAUGUGGGAAGAAUCAGCAUCUUAGACUUCUAAAUUUCUACAGAUUGCAGGUGCUAACAGUAAAAUUAAGUGGUAAGGUAUCCACUGGAAGAAUGGUACACAGUAUUUUCCUGGAAGUGAGCUUCAAAUGAAUAGGAAAAAUAUGUUUCAGACCAAAUUUAGAUCAAGACUUCUGAAGUUAAUUUUUCUAAUGAUA
rnacentral:lncRNA from 1 species